CUUCAUGGUCUACUACCAAAGCAAAUAUCAACCUAUUUUGCAUUCAUAAACUAUUGUACAGUAAUUAGCAUUACAACCAAUAGCUGAUCCUCUUUGCCUCACUAUCACCUUCUCCCCACAAUAUGAUGUAGUUUCACACAAGAAAAGUGGUACGUUGCACAGAGUUUACAGUAAAAUUAGUUAUUACCCAUUGGCAAGACACUAAUCUACUACCCCAGUAGAUUAUAUAUUACUAAUCUAAUAAUUUUAGUAACAUGAUUUAUUCAAAAUCAAAGUUUCUUAAUUGGUUGUCUGUUUACGUACCAUGUGACAGUGGAUCGAUACUUUACUCUUAAAAUGUACAGUGAAAUGAGCUUAUACUUUGUGUAGUAGUAUAUGAAGUACUAAGUAGAACUAUGAGGCAACUUCGAUGGAAUCCAGUCUCUAAAUUGGCAGAAUUUAUUUAAUUAAAGGGUCAAGUUUGGUCAUUGACUUAAAUUUAUUUAACUAUACGAAAACUUAGUAAUGUAUUACUCCAAAAAUAUACAGUAAAAGUAACGGAUAUUUGCUGUAGUAGAACAGGAGUUAUCAAAGGGCAAAGUUCAGCUACUGGUGUCAGUUGAACUUACUGAAUGAUACUUUAUGCAUUAUUUAAAAACUAUGCAGUAAAAUAAGUUGAUAUUUCCUGUGGUAGUAGUCUAUAAAGUACUAGUUAGUGAUGUCCCGAUUUGAGUAAUUUAUUCAAAUCCAAGAUUUAGAAAAGAGGCAAAUUGCCUCUUUAUAUUUUCCAUUAGUGAAUAUAUUUAGACAUUCACUGUAAAUUCUGUAAUUUCUUAAAUGUAAUUCAUUUCCUUGCAACAUUUAUCUUAAUAUCGCCCCAGAUGCUCCUAAAAGUGAGAGUCUCGGCUUUUCUCAGUGAUCGCAACAGUUACCGUAACUAUAGCACGAAUCGCGCACCUUGAAUAUAGCGACGGCUCAUUUGACCACGGAAAAGUAAACGGCGGUUCAUUUGACCGUGGUGACACACCGGAGCAAACGGCAACUGUAGCUUGUUUGAUCCUUUCGGUAAUUAAUCUUACUGCAUCUAUUUAUGACAAUGAGUAGCACAUGUGUACAGCGAGCGGCGCUACAAUAAGUAUAGUGAAUUUUACUGUCUUGUCGUCUGCGUUAGAUUAAAGAUUAUGACACAAUAAAAAUGUGCUACCACUAGCAUCAUAAUGGCUCAGAGAACUUUCCUUUUACGAUGCAAACAAAUCGUUAAUGAGUGUACUCGACUUCUACAAGGGGACAGUCCACCAGAUGACGCAUUUCAAACAGUUCUAACAAGAAUGGAAACCCUUAAACGCUGUCUGGAGUGCUCAAGAGGGAGGUUGAUGGAUGCAACAGCAGUACAAGACAUCCUAGAAAACAUUGAGAAAUAUACUCAGGAGGUCAAGGAAAUGCAACAGGGGGCUCAACAAGUGCUUAUAGACACAAGCUGUUACGGCGAUAAAGAGGCACGUGAUGGCUGGACUGUCAUGCGAGGUGGUGUCAGCAAAAGUAAAACUCACAAGUCAUAGAGUCAAUUGACUCUCUGCAUAUUCGUUGAGCUGAGGGCUGCUUGAAGUGCUGUUUCUGUUGUAAUAGAGAUUAACGUGCACACGCAUCAUAGACCAGAAGCACAAGUGGCCAUUGGUUUUAAUGCUGUCAACUAGGGCUCAAGCAUGCAUUAAAGAGUCCAUUACCUAAGAUGAUGUGGUUGUUAUUGCUCCUGAUACAAAGUUUUCGGUGUGUACACUUAAUGUCACUUUUCACAAAGACAAAUUCUGUAACAUCUGUUGUCUCUGUUUGAUUAUAGCAGGUAAUGUUUAUAUUAGUGUUUAGAAAGAUAAAGAAGGUACAGUACUGGGUUGUAUAGCACCGACGCCUGUGUGGUCACGUGUAACACUUGACUGAAGUAUUUCAAAUAGAUUUCAGUAUUCCCCAGUAAAUAAAAAAAACUCUACAAAUGUCCACAGUUACGUCUGUAUUUUACAGU